UGAACCCUGCCCUGCGCGUGCUUGGAGUGAAUGGGUUAUUGAUCCAACACCAACUAUCAGGGAAUCCUAAGGUUAGACAUAGACGUAUGCUUCCCUUGGGGAGAAACGAAAAUGUCUAACAGGAUGCCCACCUGACGACCUCAGGUUCAGUCUCAUUCUUCCACACGGCAGGUGUGGGGCGUUU
rnacentral:other from 1 species